CCUACGGGAGGCAGCAGUAGGGAAUAUUGCACAAUGGGCGAAAGCCUGAUGCAGCGACGCCGCGUGAGGGAUGACGGCCUUCGGGUUGUAAACCUCUUUCAGCAGGGAAGAAGCGAAAGUGACGGUACCUGCAGAAGAAGCGCCGGCUAACUACGUGCCAGCAGCCGCGGUAAU
rnacentral:rRNA from 1 species